GUGCCUGGUUGGCAGCACAUAUACUAAAAUUGGAAUGUUACAGAGAAGAUUAGUAUGGCCCC
ensembl:snRNA U6 U6 spliceosomal RNA